UGCACGCCGCGGGGGAGGGGAAGAGAGCACGCUAGUUGGAGAGCACGAGAAAACAAACGGCCACCCCCACCUCGCCUCCAACCCCACAAUUUUCAUAAUUAACUCUAGCUGUAAAUAAGAAAACAUACGUGGCAACAUCUCGGAAAUACACUUAGAUUUACUGUCAGUUCUGAGAAGUCAGGCUUGUGAACCAUGGUCCUAUCCUGGCAUCAAUUCAAGUAAACAUGACUGCCAAAGAAUUUUUCAAGGUCCAGAUGAGUUGAUAUCAGAUACUGAUCAAGGCACACCUGAAAGUCCAAGAACCUGAGAUUGAAGGGUAUGCUACCUAUUGAAACCACUCUUCAACAGGAAGCAGGGAAAUGUGAAGUGACUUCAGUAACAGAAGAAUGUAAAUAAGUCUCUUUAUAACUGAAGGGGUUAUUGAGAUUACUUCAGAAGUUUUAAAGUAAUUUGAAUAAAUUAUCAUACGUUUUUUCCUGAUUUCAAUGUCUCUACUCAAAAAGAGGUUGUUCAAAAUUGAACGAAAUGUCUCCAGACAAGAACCGCUGCAUUCAGGCCAACCAUCCGAUUCGAUGCCUUCGGGGUGGAGAGAGGGAGAAAGUAAAAGGCACCAAAUCACCCUAGUUGCCCAGGCCUAAAAGGCAGGGUGUCAUUUUUGAUUUCCUUCAAGAAACUUCCAGAUUGGAGUGCAGUGGCACGAUCCUGGCUCACUGCAACCUCUGCCUCCCGGGUUCAAGAGA
rnacentral:lncRNA from 1 species